UCAAGUUCUGUUGUUUUCGACCAGUGCGAUCUUAUUUAACGUGCAGAGGAAACGGAGCCAAAGAGAUGCAAACUGUUUGUGCAAUGUGUAAUGUUAAACUGUAUCCUUUUAACCCUUACAGUUAUUUCAAGAUCAAAGAAAAUAUUAAAUUUGACGCCCCUUUUUCUGGGCAGGUGUUCCCCGCAUGUUUCGGAAUUCCAGAACAUGUGUUUCAUCAGAAUUUGAUUAUAACAUAUACUUCUUUUCUAUUUUUUCAGAUGUUGUUUAUGCAAGUCUGUUUGGUGGUUCCUCUAUAUUGUAUGUUUUGCACGUUUCAAUAUUUGGAAAAGAAAAUUUACGUGACCUGAUGAUAUCUUCUGAGGAAGCAAAGGGAUGAAGGUAUGCAAUAGUCGUCAGAGCUUCACGAGACUACGCCAUGUUUACUGAGUCAAAAUUUUUUUAUUAAGCCUUUUGUACCGCAAAUUUGAAAAUACCACAGAAAAUCAGAGACAUGCCAUAUUCAAGUACUUUUUGUUGGAAAAUGUCCACAUCUGGAUAUACAUAAUUUGUGAACACCUUUGGACAUUAUCCGAGUUUAUACUCAGACGAGUGUCGGACGAACAUUUUCCCUCUUUUCCAUGCUAUUUUCAAAUUUGCUUAUUGCUUUUGAAGUCAGGGUGGCAAGAUGUUGACAUUAAGAUUUGAUUUACAUUUCAAUACAUCAUUCACAAAACAACCCGCAGAGCAGGUUGUAAAAUCUGAGGAAUGAAUGUUUGAUUGACGAAGGAGGAACAAGAAAGCCACCUGCAGAGCUUUAACAUCAGCAAGUACUGAAAAGUUGACAAAAGAAUUGGAUAAAUAUAUGCAGGGCAAAUGAUGCAAGGAAUAUUAAAAUCAUGACAUUCUGUAUAGUCCAUCAUUUCAACUAAGAAUCUAUGAGCUGCUGUAAGAGAAAGAGAGUGUAACAAGCCUAGUUUGUUAGUUGUGAUUCAAUCGACAUCAGACAAUUUCACAGAACUGUUGCCUGGAUUUCUUCUGUCCCAACCUCAGCCUAGCAAAUAUGAUGUUGUAUGCAUGUUUAAUAGCAGUUGUGAUUAUACAAGUUGAUUAUUCAGCUGGACUAAACUGUUGGGAUUGUGAAAGUGACAUGGAUUGGAGCAAAUGCAAGUUGCUCAAGACAAAAGAGUGCGUUUGGCCACAGACAAGAUGUGGCAAAUUCUAUACCAAACAGGGAGCUGUGGAGACAUACAGACGUGAUUGCUUUACGGAGGAGUAUUGCCGCGUGAAGCCGCAAUGCACAUCGCAGUUUUCAAAAUGCGAAAUUAGCUGCUGCGAAGGAGAUGCCUGUAAUGCAGCUAAUGUUGCAACCAUUCCGUUGUGGUUGUGCGUAUUAUCAGCCAUUGGUAUUUACCUAAUAUUCUGUCUGCAGCAAUAUUGAGAAGCAAAGAACAGAUAACACUGCCAAUUUAUUAUAUCUCUGUUUUUUGAAUCUAUAAAUAUUAAUGUAAAUAGCAAGUGACGACCUGCAUUUAGGGAGUGUCAUUUUUAACCCUGGGCCUCAGGGUGGAAGAAUUCCUGAGGGGUAUGAAAUUCUUUAGCCUUGUUUUAUAUUGUUAUCAUAUUAUGUUCACUUAUUUCUUAUGGGGUUAUCAACCUUUUCAAGUACAUCUCCACCGAGGUAUAAUUUGGACAUCUUCCAAAAAACAAUGGCUAUUUUUUUGCAGUGAUAUAUAACAGUGCGAUUUUGCUAAAGGAUAUUGAUAACAAAAUUUAUUUGGUGUACUAAAACAUUAGCUAGUGCAGAUUGGAAAAACAUGGAUCAUACCCAUAUGCCAUAAUAGCAUAACUAAAGGCAUCAGUUAGGUGCAGUCAGCUGUUAUUGAAUCAAAGAGCCUGUUUCAAUAGAUGGCUAAUGAUUAUAACGAUCUGGUACUGCAUUAAAUUUAAACUGAUACAAGAUUCUCACAAACCGAAAAAGAGAUUUAGAUGCAAGAAGCGAGGAGAAAUAAUAUUAAGGCAUUACUAAUUUUCAUUAUUUUGAAAUGGGGUUUUUUGAUUUAGAGACUGGGGUAAGAAAACUUUUCCAUUUGCCCCCAAAAAUUCUACCAUACCUGUACCCACCAUUAAAAAUGACAACCCCUUUGGAUAUGUUAGGGACUAGCAAAUAAUGCCAUUAAUAAUCAUUACUUUAUUGUAACUUGAUUGCAUUGAAAAUAAAAAUGUCUUUUACAUCAAAGAUUUAAUGUGCCUCAAUAGCUUUGAAAAAAGCAAAUACUUUACAACA